rnacentral:rRNA from 1 species
GAUGAACGCUGGCGGCGUGCCUAAUACAUGCAAGUCGAGCGAACAGAUGAGAAGCUUGCUUCUCUGAUGUUAGCGGCGGACGGGUGAGUAACACGUGGGUAACCUACCUAUAAGACUGGGAUAACUCCGGGAAACCGGGGCUAAUACCGGAUAAUAUUUUGAACCGCAUGGUUCAAUAGUGAAAGACGGUUUCGGCUGUCACUUAUAGAUGGACCCGCGCCGUAUUAGCUAGUUGGUAAGGUAACGGCUUACCAAGGCGACGAUACGUAGCCGACCUGGGAGGGUGAUCGGCCACACUGGAACUGAGACACGGUCCAGACUCCUACGGGAGGCAGCAGUAGGGAAUCUUCCGCAAUGGGCGAAAGCCUGACGGAGCAACGCCGCGUGAGUGAUGAAGGUCUUCGGAUCGUAAAACUCUGUUGUUAGGGAAGAACAAAUUUGUUAGUAACUGAACAAGUCUUGACGGUACCUAACCAGAAAGCCACGGCUAACUACGUGCCAGCAGCCGCAGUAA